AUUGAACGCUGGCGGCAGGCCUAACACAUGCAAGUCGAACGGUAACAGAAAGCAGCUUGCUGCUUUGCUGACGAGUGGCGGACGGGUGAGUAAUGUCUGGGAAACUGCCUGAUGGAGGGGGAUAACUGCUGGAAACGGUAGCUAAUACCGCAUAACGUCGCAAGACCAAAGAGGGGGACCUUCGGGCCUCUUGCCAUCGGAUGUGCCCAGAUGGGAUUAGCUAGUAGGUGGGGUAACGGCUCACCUAGGCGACGAUCCCUAGCUGGUCUGAGAGGAUGACCAGCCACACUGGAACUGAGACACGGUCCAGACUCCUACGGGAGGCAGCAGUGGGGAAUAUUGCACAAUGGGCGCAAGCCUGAUGCAGCCAUGCCGCGUGUAUGAAGAAGGCCUUCGGGUUGUAAAGUACUUUCAGCGGGGAGGAAGGGAGUAAAGUUAAUACCUUUGCUCAUUGACGUUACCCGCAGAAGAAGCACCGGCUAACUCCGUG
rnacentral:rRNA from 1 species